rnacentral:rRNA from 1 species
CCUACGGGAGGCAGCAGUGGGGAAUAUUGCACAAUGGAGGAAACCCUGAUGCAGCGACGCCGCGUGCGUGAAGAAGUAAUUCUUUAUGUAAAGCUCUAUUAGCAGGGAAGAAAAUGCCGGUACCUGAAUAAGAAUCCCCGUCUAACUACGUGACAGCUGCCGCGGUAAUACGUAGGAGGCAAGCGUUAUCCGGAUUUACUGGGUGUAAAGGGGGCGUAGGCGGCACUGCAAGUCUGUAGUGAAAGGCGGGGGCUCAACCCCCGGACUGCUCUUGAAACUGUACGGCUGGAGUGCAGGAGAGGUAAGUGGAAUGCCUAGUGUAGCGGUGAAAUGCGUAGAGAUUAGGAGGAACACCAGUGGCGAAGGCGGCUUACUGAACUGUAACUGACGUUGAGGCUCGAAAGCGUGGGGAGCAAACAGGAUUAGAUACCCCGGUAGUC